AUUGAACGCUGGCGGCAGGCCUAACACAUGCAAGUCGAACGCUGAUUUUCUAACUAAUGCUUGCAUUGACUUGAAAAUCGGAGUGGCGAACGGGUGAGUAAUGUCUGGGAAACUGCCUGAUGGAGGGGGAUAACUACUGGAAACGGUAGCUAAUACCGCAUAACGUCGCAAGACCAAAGAGGGGGACCUUCGGGCCUCUUGCCAUCGGAUGUGCCCAGAUGGGAUUAGCUAGUAGGUGGGGUAAAGGCUCACCUAGGCGACGAUCCCUAGCUGGUCUGAGAGGAUGACCAGCCACACUGGAACUGAGACACGGUCCAGACUCCUACGGGAGGCAGCAGUGGGGAAUAUUGCACAAUGGGCGCAAGCCUGAUGCAGCCAUGCCGCGUGUAUGAAGAAGGCCUUCGGGUUGUAAAGUACUUUCAGCGGGGAGGAAGGGAGUAAAGUUAAUACCUUUGCUCAUUGACGUUACCCGCAGAAGAAGCACCGGCUAACUCCGUGCCAGCAGCCGCAGUAAAAC
rnacentral:rRNA from 1 species